GGGGGGAGCUCUGGAUCCUGGGCUGUGUCCUCCGGUGCCCUGGGCUCCCGGGCCUACCCUGCUGGAAUCGCCUCCUGGCCGGGCAGCCCCCU
rnacentral:pre_miRNA from 1 species